UACAGAGGGUGCAAGCGUUGCUCGGAAUCAUUGGGCGUAAAGGGUAGGUAGGUGGUCUCGUUUGUCUGGGGUGAAAGCCCAGGGCUUAACCCUGGAAGUGCCCCGGAAACGGCGAGACUGGAAUCUUGGAGAGGGUCGUGGAAUUCCCGGUGUAGCGGUGAAAUGCGUAGAGAUCGGGAGGAACACCAGAGGCGAAGGCGGCGACCUGGACAAGUAUUGACACUGAACUACGAAAGCGUGGGGAGCAAACAGGG
rnacentral:rRNA from 1 species